AUGUUCCUUUCUGGGCGCGAAGUCAGGGAAAUAUUCGCAAGGAUGGAGAACAUUCAACAGAAUCAGUAUGCAAUCAAGCAUGGAAUGGAUUCCAGAUAGGAAUAUAGGAUUCACCUUACACUCAGAAACUGGGGGAUAGGCCUAGUUGUUCAAAAUACACGGCGUUGCUGCAUGGACUUGAAGAGAUAGUUAUGAAUUUAGAAUAUCAUCAAGUGACUUUUAAUAAGGCACUGUUUUCAGUGGAUGAACCGACAUCAUGCAGUGUGACAGGAAAACGCCCGUGAGACCAAAGAUGGCUUAGAUAAAAGGGAAGACGAUGCAGAAGCCUCUGUACCAGAGAAAAAUCCAGAGAUGGCCCUCAAAGAAGUUAGAAACAAGAUGAGAGACCGUCUCAAGUUGUUUAGGUCUGGAGCCACCUUCCCCCACCCACGAGUCGAAGAAAUAGAUCUUUGAACCACUCCAGGUUACCCGUGACAUCAAGAUAAACAAAAUUCAACUUCAGGGACAAUUUGAUAAUACCUGUUUAAAAUUUUUUUUUUAGCUCACCUGGGCCGAAGGUUCAAGUGAGCUUUUCUGAUCAAAAUUUGUUCGUUGUCUGUCGUCGGCGAAAACUUUUCACAUUUUCAUCUUCUCCAGAACCACUGGGUCAAUUUCAACCAAACUAAGUGACACAAAGCACCCUUGGGUGAAAGGCUUUCAAGUUUGUUCAAAUGAAGGGCCAUGCCCCUUCAAAGGGGAGAUAAUCGCAAAAAUACGGUGGGGUCAUUCAAAAAUCUUCUCAAGAACCACUGGGACAGAGAAGCUGAAAUUUACAUGAAAGCCUCCUGACAUAGUACAGAUUCAAGUUUGUUAAAACCAAUGA